CACCUAACUCCGAGGAAGUCUUGUCAGCUCCGUCAUCUACCAUGACCCCUCGGAGCUCACAGCCUCACACCAACCAGGACAGAAAAAAAUGCUGUCCCUGCAACCCUUGAAGUCAUCGGGACCCAGCUAUCCCGUGAAGGCUAAACUUACCACAACCUAUCUCCGAGGAAGUCUUGUCGGCUCGUCAUCUGCCGUGACCUCUUGCAGUCCACAGCCUCACACCAAUCAGACAUGAGAAAUGGUGUCCCUGAGGCCCUUGGCAUUG